rnacentral:rRNA from 1 species
GACGAACGCUGGCGGCGUGCUUAACACAUGCAAGUCGAACGCUGAAGCUUGGUGCUUGCACUGGGUGGAUGAGUGGCGAACGGGUGAGUAACACGUGAGUAACCUGCCCUUUACUUCGGGAUAAGCUUGGGAAACUGGGUCUAAUACCGGAUAUUCUGCGUGAUCGCAUGGUUGUGUAGGAAAGAUUUUUUGGUAAGGGAUGGGCUCGCGGCCUAUCAGUUUGUUGGUGGGGUGAUGGCCUACCAAGACGACGACGGGUAGCCGGCCUGAGAGGGCGACCGGCCACACUGGGACUGAGACACGGCCCAGACUCCUACGGGAGGCAGCAGUGGGGAAUAUUGCACAAUGGGGGAAACCCUGAUGCAGCGACGCCGCGUGGGGGAUGACGGCCUUCGGGUUGUAAACCUCUUUCAGUAGGGAAGAAGCGGAAGUGACGGUACCUGCAGAAGAAGUACCGGCUAACUACGUGCCAGCAGCCGCGGUAAUACGUAGGGUACUAGCGUUGUCCGGAAUUAUUGGGCGUAAAGAGCUCGUAGGUGGUUUGUCGCGUCUGCUGUGGAAACGUGCCGCUUAACGGUGCGCGUGCAGUGGGUACGGGCGGACUAGAGUGCAGUAGGGGAGUCUGGAAUUCCUGGUGUAGCGGUGAAAUGCGCAGAUAUCAGGAGGAACACCGGUGGCGAAGGCGGGACUCUGGGCUGUUACUGACGCUGAGGAGCGAAAGCAUGGGGAGCGAACAGG